UACGGAGGGUGCAAGGCGUUGUCCGGAUUUACUGGGUUAAAGGGUGCGUAGGUGGGUAGGAAAGUCAGUGGUGAAAUCUUCGGGCCUAACCCGGAAACUGCCAUUGAUACUAUUUAUCUGAAUACUUUGGAGGUAAGCGGAAUAUGUCAUGUAGCGGUGAAAUGCUUAGAUAUGACAUAGAACACCAAAUUGCGAAGGCAGCUUACUACACAGUUAUUGACACUGACGGCACGAAAGCGUGGGGAUCAA
rnacentral:rRNA from 1 species